UUAAGGGAAAGCCAUACCCGAAAU
rnacentral:snRNA from 1 species